rnacentral:misc_RNA from 1 species
GUGAAUCAUCGAAUUUUUGAACGCAAAUUGCACUCUCUUCGGAGAGUAUGCCUGUUUGAGGGUCAGCCUAAAAAAAAUCGACAUAGUUGCUGUUACGCGGUAAUUUUCGUCGGAAAUUGGGUCAUUUUAAACCUUUGGGUUUAAGUGGCUUAAAAUUUUCUUUAUGAUUUUAAGAACGUUCCUAAGAUUUUAUUUUCUUAUACGUUUAAGGUAUUGAUCUUUAUUAGAUGUGGUCGUUGUAUCGGAUCAUGUUCAUAAAU